CGCCUGUUUAUCAAAAACAUCGCCUCCUGCAAUCAAACAGUAUAGGAGGUCCAGCCUGCCCAGUGACUAUUAGUUCAACGGCCGCGGUAUUCUGACCGUGCAAAGGUAGCGUAAUCACUCGUCCUUUAAAUGGGGUCAAGUAUGAAAGGCUAAACGAGGGCUUAACUGUCUCCCCUUCCAGGUCAGUGAAAUUGAUCUAUCCGUGCAGAAGCGGGUAUAAAUAUACAAGACGAGAAGACCCUUUGGAGCUUUAGGUACAAGACUAAACCACGUUUAACAAGUCAAUGAAAACACAAACCCCGUGGAAACUUAAGACUUUACCUUCGGUUGGGGCGACCACGGAGUAAAAUAAAACCUCCAAGUGGACUGGGGAAACUCCUAAAACUAAGAGACUCACCUCUAAGUCACAGAAAUUCUGACCAAAAUGAUCCGGACACUUAACCGAUUAACGAACCAAGUUACCCUAGGGAUAACAGCGCAAUCCUCUCCCAGAGCCCAUAUCGACGAGGGGGUUUACGACCUCGAUGUUGGAUCAGGACAUCCUAAUGGUGCAGCCGCUAUUAAGGGUUCGUUUGUUCAACGAUAAAAGUCCUACGUGAUCUGAGUUCAGACCGG
rnacentral:rRNA from 1 species